CUUGAAAUCUUGCAGGAAGGAGCUUGUUUUUCAGUGUAGAUGUAUCUGUUACAGAGAUAUCCGCUGUUGGUUUAGGGGAAGCAGGUGAAACAGAUCUAUAUGAGUCAUAUAGGGUAGGUUCACUGACUCCCGAGGCAGAAGUGAGGAUGUGGACGGCUCUGUGUGUGGCAAUGUACUUCUUUGGAACAAGAGCCGAAAUCACCCAAACUCCAAGUCUUGUGGUGAGAGAAGAUGAGAAUGCUACCCUGAAAUGCAGUCAAAAUGAUAAUCACAAUUCUAUGUACUGGUAUCUGCAGCAGCCAGGGAAGGCGAUGCAAUUGAUUUAUUAUUCCUAUGGUUUAACUCUGAAGCAAGAGGGUGACAUUUCGGGUGGAUUUCAAGCUAACCGGCCAAACCUUGCAGAAUUCUAUUUGGAUAUUUUGUCUGUGAAGUCGAACCACUCAGCCGUCUAUUUCUGUGCCAGUAGUUUGGACACAACACUUCAAAGUCCCUUGCUUUCUUUACAUAAACCUCUCCCCUUCAGCACCUUCCAUCCGAAGGGAGCCGCUCUCAGCACAGGAAAAGGGGGUGUAGGGCAAUCAUCUACUCACAAACCAGAUGUUACUGAGAAGGUGGAACAAGAGUAGGUAGACAUAAGACCUAGGCAAAAUAGGAAUUUGAAAUGCAGGCUAAUUGCUGAACUCCUCUUUCCUGAUCAGCUACUUAUCCUCUACCUUAUCAGUACAAUCAAUAAAGAUGGUUAACAAAAUGGAGAUGUAAAGUAAAGGAAAUGUAAAUUGUAGUUGAUACAGCCACAAGUUAUUGUCCACUAAGACAUUUUCAUACCUGACACAGAACAGUUGCCUGACAUACACAAGUCUGAAAUACUUUAGAGAUAGUGACUUCUAUGUGCCCUCUCAUUCCUUCCUGAACCACAAAGUUUUUCACUGUGCUUGGAAAGGUUACCCUAAUCACAAGAAAACUGUAGAAUUACCAUUUUCAAUGGUGAUGAAAAGGAGUCUGAACAAAAGACGAUGCAGGAAUAGAAUCUAUACAGAACUAAUAUGCAACACACUGGAUUAAAAUUAAAAAAAGAGGAGUCAUCACUAUGGCUUGCAAGUGCAUAGACGAAAUCCUGAAAAGCUGUAUGUUAUGGAGGUUAUAAAGUGGGAAGGCAGGUAGUCAAAGUAUUCCAACUUGGAAUGAAUUCACAUUCAAGAAAAAAUAACAUGUAGAUUUUCAUUUGUUCAGAAAUUGUUCUGACUAUGGAGAUAACUUCCAGCUGCAUAGUGAAUCUCAUACCACUAUGUGUGCCUCAUCUAUCUCUUUAUAUCUCUCUCGCACCACUGAAUAAGCAGCAAUAUUCAUUAUUAAUCUGGUUGAUACCUUCUCUCUGUGGCUGAGUUCUGUGGGCUUAUUUUUAUCCACGGAAACUUUGUGAUGUUUCUCAAGGCCUUAUAGAUCUUUCUGACUGUGAGCUAAGUCCUGAUAUGAACACUGCUUCAGAGAGCAUCCAU